rnacentral:rRNA from 1 species
AGAGAGAAGCUUGCUUCUCUUGAGAGCGGCGGACGGGUGAGUAAUGCCUAGGAAUCUGCCUGGUAGUGGGGGAUAACGUUCGGAAACGGACGCUAAUACCGCAUACGUCCUACGGGAGAAAGCAGGGGACCUUCGGGCCUUGCGCUAUCAGAUGAGCCUAGGUCGGAUUAGCUAGUUGGUGAGGUAAUGGCUCACCAAGGCGACGAUCCGUAACUGGUCUGAGAGGAUGAUCAGUCACACUGGAACUGAGACACGGUCCAGACUCCUACGGGAGGCAGCAGUGGGGAAUAUUGGACAAUGGGCGAAAGCCUGAUCCAGCCAUGCCGCGUGUGUGAAGAAGGUCUUCGGAUUGUAAAGCACUUUAAGUUGGGAGGAAGGGCAGUUACCUAAUACGUGAUUGUUUUGACGUUACCGACAGAAUAAGCACCGGCUAACUCUGUGCCAGCAGCCGCGGUAAUACAGAGGGUGCAAGCGUUAAUCGGAAUUACUGGGCGUAAAGCGCGCGUAGGUGGUUUGUUAAGUUGGAUGUGAAAUCCCCGGGCUCAAC